UACGAAUGGGGCUAGCGUUGUUCGGAUUUACUGGGCGUAAAGCGCACGUAGGCGGAUCUUUAAGUCAGAGGUGAAAUCCCAAGGCUCAACCUUGGAACUGCCUUUGAUACUGGGGAUCUUGAGUCCGGGAGAGGUGAGUGGAACUGCGAGUGUAGAGGUGAAAUUCGUAGAUAUUCGCAAGAACACCAGUGGCGAAGGCGGCUCACUGGCCCGGUACUGACGCUGAGGCACGAAAGCGUGGGGAGCAAACAGG
rnacentral:rRNA from 1 species